GUGUAGAAACGGACUCUCCAUACCUGCUUUACGAUCGACUCUAUUUAAGCGAGGUGAGCUUGAAAACAUUGAUAGCGUGAUUGAGAAUGAAUCGUAUCUGUGUCAACUAAAUUCUUAAGUAAAUAAUUGAACAGAGUCAUCUAACGGCAAAAUGUUGUAUUAGUUAUAGGUUUUUGUGAUCAUCGACAUUGUAUAGAUGUCAUCUGACACCAAUCAAGUUAACACAAUACAGAAGUUAAAAAUAAAACUUCAAAACAAAAUAAA
rnacentral:misc_RNA from 1 species